rnacentral:rRNA from 1 species
CGGGUGAGUAAUGCGUGACCAACCUGCCCCAUGCUCCAGAAUAGCUCUUGGAAACGGGUGGUAAUGCUGGAUGCUCCAACUUGACGCAUGUCUUGUUGGGAAAGUGUUUAGUGGCAUGGGAUGGGGUCGCGCCUAUCAGCUUGUAGGCGGGGUAAUGGCCCACCUAGGCUUCGACGGGUAGCCGGCCUGAGAGGGCGGACGGCCACAUUGGGACUGAGAUACGGCCCAGACUCCUACGGGAGGCAGCAGCU